rnacentral:misc_RNA from 1 species
AAGUAAUCCACAUUAUUUACUGCUGAAUGUGGCUGUAAUUGGCAGUCCACCUGAUUUGCCAUUGAAUGGGACUGCAAGUGGAAACCAACUUCGUUUACAUUUGAAACUGUGUCCUGACCAACAGGCCCAAUUUCACUCCAAAAGAGGGCAGCAUCAUGGUACAGAUCAAGCUCGCUCAGUCCAUCAAAAUUAUCAAGCCCCAAGUUCUCUGCAGUUUUCUCGGUGUUCAAUGAAGUAGGUUCUGGACCAAUGAGAUCAUCAAUUUCCAGGAAAUCAUCUUCACAAAGUUGCUGUGCCCCUUCAGAGCUAUGAGGACCAGAUGCAACUUCGGGCACCUCAAGCAACUGAAAUGUCGAGGUAGCUGACCCGUUGAAGUCCAAGCUUUCCUGCUGGACACUUGUAG